AACUAACGCUGGCGGCGCGUCUUAAACAUGCAAGUCAAACGGGUAGCAAUACCAGUGGCGAACGGGUGAGUAAUACAUGGAUAAUCUACCUUUAAGUUGGGGAUAACACAGAGAAAUUUGUGCUAAUACCGAAUGUGACGGUUCCUGGUAGCAGGGAUUGGUUAAAGCAGCAAUGCGCUUGAAGAUGGGUCCAUGGCUGAUUAGCUAGUUGGUGGGGUAAAGCCCACCCAAGGCGACGAUCAGUAGCCGGCCUGAGAGGGUGAACGGCCAAAAUGGAAUUGAGACACGGUACAAACCCCACAGGGGGGAGGAAGUGAAGAAUCUGGCUAAAUGGGCGAAAGCCUGAAGCAGCGACGCCGGGUGAACGAUGAAGGUCGUCGGAUUUAAAAGUUCAGUAAUUGGGGACGAAAAAAAUGACGGUACCUACCUAAAGCCCCGGCUAACUACGUGCCAGCAGCCGCCGUAACAC
rnacentral:rRNA from 1 species